GUCGUGCCCUCUGGCCCCGCCCUCGGACUUCCUUUCUGGGGCGGAGCCUUCGGCCGUUGCCCGCAGGCAGAGGUCCUUCGCCGCGGGACGCGAACCCUGGGAGAACGCAACACCUAAUAUAUUCAGUAAUGACUUUGAAGCUGCCAUGCAUAGUCUGAAGGAAGCCUUGCUGGCCUGGGAUUGCAGUGUCAACAAAGCCAAGAUCCAGGGACCUGGCUUAUCUGUCAAAUUCUUGGAUGUUACCUGGUCGGAUAAGACAAAAGGAUCUGCCCAAUGGGAAGCGACAUUCUCGUGACCUUUGAGAAGAUGGGAUGUAGUGAGCCACGUUGGAUUGCUUCAAAGCCCAGCACAUUUGAGGACACACAAGGACAUGACCCUUCUGUCUAGCACAGGUGCACAACAGAGUACACUUACGUAAGCAUGACUUAGAUAGACGAGCGUGCAUGUGCGAUACGGCUAUGACGGUACACAGGAAUGUAAACCUUGACAACGACCAACAUGUAUGGGCCAGACAAUAAAGAUGUUUGCUUACUGUUGCUGAUGUCA